UCAAGAGUCUCUCCAAGGCAAAGUCUUGGAGGAUCCUGCAAGCCUGAGGUUGAUUAUCUAAGAGCUGAGUGAGCUAUGACUUAUAAUUAGACUUAAGCUGUUUUAAAUAAUAUAAUUAAAUUGUGAUAUUUCUUGUAUAUCUGAAUUUGUAGAUCAAGAUUCCUAUUCUCUACAAUUAGGGAAUUAGGUAAUUAGGAGGUCAUUAGCAUAGUUUCAGUAGAGCAGGGUGAAAUUAUAUUAAAGAACAUUAAGUAGAGAACAGGAGGUAAGAAAGCUUGAGAAGUGGAAGAAUGAACUUGGAUGGCAGCUGGAAAGCAGGAGAGACCUGAUUAUGUUUGCUAGUUGAGAAAAGAAACGAACAGAGAGAGGCUUUUCUCCAAAGAUAUAAGGUCAAUUUAAUUCAAUUUCACCAAUUUGACCUGUUGGGGUUUAUUGAUUCCUUGGCGACUGAUUAAGCACUUCACCAUCCUACCUGUUCUACUUGCUUAUCAUCUGCAGCUGCUUCUUCUCUCGGAGUUGGAAAGAAUUACUCUCAGUCUGUUCAGGCCUCCAGGUCGGUAGGGAGGGCUCUCCUUUGACAGAACUGUGGAUGAACCCAUAGUCGUUAGGUUGUCUGCCAGAAGGGAGUCCCACUUCACCAUUUUCUGUGUAUGAAUUUUGCAGAGAAGGACAUCACGCCUAUGGUAUGAAGUCAGAACCGAUCUCAGUUUAUUCCUUAUUUUCCAAUGAAAAAGAAGGAUUUUGUUAAAGGCAAUGAGAAUAUUUGGUCAUUUUCUGCCUAAGAAAAUACACAUUUAUUGAAAUUUGAUGGCAUUGGAUCUUUCUUCUACAUUUGUGGAGGGGUCGUGCACACUUCAUCUCCAACAGCUGGUAGAGCUGAGUGGGCAGAUUGCUUUCUGUGCGCACAAGAAACAGGUGUCCCUGUGCCCAUUUUAUGUGUGGAAACUGGAAACUCUGAGGAGUUAGCCUCUCCAUAUUUCCAGAAUUAACAAGCCAUGGAGAUGAGGUUCAAACAGAGAGGUUAUAUAAUGUUUGAUAUUUGGAUUUCUCAUCUUAUGGAAGACUGCGGUUAGCUCUGGGUUCACAGAAAGAGUGUGGCCCGGCUGCAUACACUUCAAACAGCAAGCACGCAUAAGAUCCCAGAGUAGUCCCCCGAUUUCCAAUGCAGGAGGUUGCUUGGUGGCAGAGCUCUGCAAGUGUCCAACAGCAGGCAUUCCAUGGAGCCGUGCACUGGUGUGGAGUGCCAGCGUCUGAUAAAGAAAACGAAGAUACUCUAACGAAGCAGGAAAAGUUCCUGGAUGUGGCAGAUCCAUCUCAAGGCUUUGGAUAAAAGACUGAAGCAGGAGUAAUUGGAUACCAGAACAUUAUAUAUAUAUUUUUUGCAUUAAUCCUUUUGCUUUUUGCUUACCCUUUUCUUCCCAUGGCACUGAAGUGGAAUAUCCCAAGUGCCACCGAACUCAGAGAACUCCACGCCGGAAUGGGGGUGAGGCUGGCGUUCUACCUCUGGCAUAGGAUAAGGAUGGCAGGCACGUAAUAUUACGAAAUGUAGGACAAAUUCAAGCGAAAGAGAGGGAGAGGGAGAGAGAGGGGGAGAGCCAGAGACAGAUGGCGGAUCUGGCUAGGAGCCAAAGCCAGUGAAAUGAAUUACAUUGCUGAAUAACUGUAUACCAUUGAUUCUGCCACUUGUUGCUGCAUGGCAAAAAAAAAAAAAAAAAAAGGAAAAAAAAGAAAAGCCCCAGUGUAUGCUGGAAUCUCCUUAUUUGUCAUGUGCGCAGCAGACAACUUUCACACACAACUCAAUCCUGACAAUGAUACGCUCUGGGUGUCUUGAGUGGGUGUGGAGGUGCAUGAGAAGGUUGUGUGCAUGUAUGUGUGGCCGAGAAAGCAAAUGUGGGUGUGUGUGCUUAUGCAUGUGGGAGAAAGGAAAAACAAUCCUUGCAAUCCGGCCAUUUUUGUUUAAUGAAGAAUGGAAGACUGGCAUUCAGAGAUGUGGUUACGUGCCGCAUAUUAAUGCGUGCUCACCACUCAUCCUCCCCCACUUUAAAAAUGAGUGGCACAGGAGUGAAGCUCUCUACAGAUCAACCACGUGGGAGAAGCAACUCAUGAGGUGGCAUCCUGUUACAGGAACAUCUUUCACAAAUUAUGAGGUGCUGACUGCCCUGGCUCCCGACUCCAUGCCUGGAAGCCCAUGCUUGGCCUCCUUACCCUGACGGAGUCUUCCCUGCCAGCCCUCUGUACUCAAUGCACAUUGCACAUCUCUACAGAACGACUUUGACUUGACUUGUCCCUCUAACUCCAGAUUC
ensembl:lncRNA